ACCCCACAAAACAGCGUUUGUGGAGGAACCUCCCCGUUUCUUUUGACCUCCGACGUCGGAAGUGAUGAUCACGAUUCUCGGUUAGCCAUGGCCGAUCUCAUAAUUUUCCCCUCUCAACGGUUACGAGACCCAAAGAUGUCCCUUUCUCAUAUGCAGGUAGGCAUAUUAUGAUGGUGAGUGGUGGCAGGCAUAGAUUUGUGACUGGUUUUAUUCAACAUCUAAGAGUGUUCUGUUUUUGUUGCGCACCAGUUGUUCGACGAAUUGUCUGAUACUCUGAUUCUCACGUUGGACUACUUGGAAUUUUCACAUGAACAAAAAUUAUUGGGUCAUCGGAGUCUUCAUCAUCAACUUCAUCUACCUCCACUUUAGCUGUCAGGCAUGCUUGAAGUAUACUAAGCAUUUGCAAUGAUAGUAAG